AAAUUAAUGAUAUUCAAACAAAAAAUUUUCAUUCUAAUAUUUGGUCCUUUCGUACUAAAAUAUUAUAAAAAUAUAAAGAUAGAAACCAACCUGGCUUACGCCGGUUUGAACUCAGAUCAUGUAAGAAUUUAAUAGUCGAACAGACUAAUUUUUUAAAAUUCUGCCCCUAAAAAUAUUCUUAGUCCAACAUCGAGGUCGCAAUCUAUUUUUUCGAUAAGAACUCUCAAAAAUAAUUACGCUGUUAUCCCUAAGGUAACUUAAUUUUAUAAUCUCUAAUAAAGGAUCAAUAAAUUUAAAUUCAUAAAUUAAUGUUUUAAAUAAUUAAAAGUUAAAUAAAUUUUAAUAUCACCCCAAUAAAAUAUUUUUAAUUAAAAAAUCCCAAUUUAUCUAAAAAAAUUUAUUAAUCAAAAUAUAAAGAUCUAUAGGGUCUUCUCGUCUUUUAUAAUUAUUUUAGCUUUUUAACUAAAAAAUAAAAUUCUAUUUUUAUAAAUGAGACAGUUUAUAUUUCGUUCAACCAUUCAUACAAGCCUUCAAUUAAAAGACUAAUGAUUAUGCUACCUUUGCACAGUUAAAAUACUGCGGCCAUUUAAUACAAUUUCAGUGGGCAGGCCAUACUUUAAAUAAUAAACUAAAAGAAAUGUUUUUGAUAAACAGACGAAUAUAUAAAAUUGCCAAAUUCCUUAUUUAUAUCUUACAACAAAUUAUAAUAAUACAUUUACAUGAAUAUACUAAUUUCAUCAUUAUAACUUAAAUUUUAUUAUUAAAUUUAAAUUUUUAAUAAAAAAAAUAAAAUACAAAUAAAUUUUAAAUAUAUUAAUUAAAUUAUAACAUAAUUAUAAAUUAUAGCUAGUUCUAAGCUUAAAUUAAUUUUAUAUUUAAACAAUAAUUUUUAAUUAUAUAAUUUAGCUUAUCCCAAAUUAUAUUAUUAAUUUUAAUAAAAUAAAUUAUAAAUAAAUUCAUUUUUAUAAAAUUAACUGAAUUAAAUUCAUUUCUUAAAAAACUAGAUACCUUUAAAAACGAUUAACAUUUCAUUUCCAAUAAAUUAUUUUAAAUAAUAAUUCCACAUUAAAAUUAUUAACUUAUUAGAUCUUUUAAAAUCGAGAAAAUAUUAAAUUAAUAAUAUUUAUUUAAUAAACCCUGAUACAAAAGGUACUAAAAAUAAAUUAUUCUUAUAAAAUAAUAAAUUUUCAAAUUAUUUCAAUUUUCUUUCACAAUACUUUUAAACUAUUACAAAAAUUAUUUAUUCUUUAAAAAAUACUAAAAAAUUAAACUAUAAAAUUAUUCCUCAUAAAAUAAAACAAACUCAAAAAAAAUUAGUAAAAUUAUUUUAACAAAUCA
rnacentral:rRNA from 1 species